AGCCAAGCGUUCAUAGCGACGU
rnacentral:siRNA from 1 species